rnacentral:rRNA from 1 species
GUUUGAUCCUGGCUCAGGAUGAACGCUGGCGGCGUGCUUAACACAUGCAAGUCGAGCGAAGCACUUAAGUGGAUCUCUUCGGAUUGAAACUUAUUUGACUGAGCGGCGGACGGGUGAGUAACGCGUGGGUAACCUGCCUCGUACAGGGGGAUAACAGUUAGAAAUGGCUGCUAAUACCGCAUAAGCGCACAGGACCGCAUGGUCUGGUGUGAAAAACUCCGGUGGUAUGAGAUGGACCCGCGUCUGAUUAGCUAGUUGGAGGGGUAACGGCCCACCAAGGCGACGAUCAGUAGCCGGCCUGAGAGGGUGAACGGCCACAUUGGGACUGAGACACGGCCCAGACUCCUACGGGAGGCAGCAGUGGGGAAUAUUGCACAAUGGGGGAAACCCUGAUGCAGCGACGCCGCGUGAAGGAAGAAGUAUCUCGGUAUGUAAACUUCUAUCAGCAGGGAAGAAAAUGACGGUACCUGACUAAGAAGCCCCGGCUAACUACGUGCCAGCAGCCGCGGUAAUACGUAGGGGGCAAGCGUUAUCCGGAUUUACUNNGUGUAAAGGGAGCGUAGACGGAAGAGCAAGUCUGAUGUGAAAGGCUGGGGCUUAACCCCAGGACUGCAUUGGAAACUGUUUUUCUAGAGUGCCG